rnacentral:lncRNA from 1 species
UUCAGGUUGUCGAAUAAAUAUCGUAAUCCAUUUCCAUUAAGUGAAAACAAAGCUUUGAAAUGUGGGUAAAAAUGUAAAGAAGCUAUUCCUAAUUCAACACAUCAAGAUAAGCAGACAAGCAGUACAGUCCGAUUUGAAUUUUUAACAAGAACAAUGUUUGAACCCAACUUGAUAUUAUCCCCAAAAGAGCCACAAACCAACCAUUCAUCUGUGUAGUCCACAUCCAACGUUAUCAGCAAUGAACAGAGACUACUUUGUUAUUUU